rnacentral:rRNA from 1 species
AUUGAACGCUGGCGGCAGGCCUAACACAUGCAAGUCGAGCGGGGUUUUCGGACCUAGCGGCGGACGGGUGAGUAAUGCGUAGGAAGCUACCCGAUAGAGGGGGAUACCAGUUGGAAACGACUGUUAAUACCGCAUAAUGUCUACGGACCAAAGUGUGGGACCUUCGGGACACAUGCUAUCGGAUGCGCCUAAGUGGGAUUAGCUAGUUGGUGAGGUAAUGGCUCACCAAGGCGACGAUCCCUAGCUGGUUUGAGAGGAUGAUCAGCCACACUGGAACUGAGACACGGUCCAGACUCCUACGGGAGGCAGCAGUGGGGAAUAUUGGACAAUGGGCGCAAGCCUGAUCCAGCCAUGCCGCGUGUGUGAAGAAGGCCUUCGGGUUGUAAAGCACUUUCAGUAGGGAGGAAGCGUUGUGUGUUAAUAGUACACAGCGUUGACGUUACCUACAGAAGAAGCACCGGCUAACUCUGUGCCAGCAGCCGCAGUAACAC